GACGAACGCUGGCGGCGUGCUUAACACAUGCAAGUCGAACGGAAAGGCCCUGCUUUUGUGGGGUGCUCGAGUGGCGAACGGGUGAGUAACACGUGAGUAACCUGCCCUUGACUUUGGGAUAACUUCAGGAAACUGGGGCUAAUACCGGAUAGGAGCUCCUGCUGCAUGGUGGGGGUUGGAAAGUUUCGGCGGUUGGGGAUGGACUCGCGGCUUAUCAGCUUGUUGGUGGGUAGUGGCUUACCAAGGCUUUGAAGGGUAGCCGGCCUGAGAGGGUGACCGGCCACAUUGGGACUGAGAUACGGCCCAGACUCCUACGGGAGGCAGCAGUGGGGAAUAUUGCACAAUGGGCGGAAGCCUGAUGCAGCAACGCCGCGUGCGGGAUGACGGCCUUCGGGUUGUAAACCGCUUUCGCCUGUGACGAAGCGUGAGUGACGGUAAUGGGUAAAGAAGCACCGGCUAACUACGUG
rnacentral:rRNA from 1 species